UUAAGUAGUAAAGGGCGCACGGAGGAUGCCUUGGCACUAGGAGCCGAAGAAGGACGUGACAAACGACGAAAUGCUACGGGGAGCUGUAAGUAAGCAAAGAUCCGUAGAUAUCCGAAUGGGGGAACCCACCGCUUUUAAAAGGGCGGUACGCGAAAGCGAGGUAACGCAGGGAACUGAAACAUCUAAGUACCUGUAGGAAGAGAAAGAAAAAUCGAUUUCCUUAGUAGCGGCGAGCGAAAAGGAAGGAGCCCAAACCAAUGUGCUUGCAUAUUGGGGUUGUAGGACUCUCAACAAAGCGUAUGACGAAGUAUAGUAGAACAAUUUGGAAAGAUAGACCGUAGAAGGUAAAAGUCCUGUAUACGAAAUGCUGAGUUGGCGUGAGAGAGCACCUGAGUACGGCGGAACACGAGGAAUUCCGUCGGAAUCUACCAGGACCAUCUGGUAAGGCUAAAUACUACCUAGUGACCGAUAGUGAACCAGUACCGUGAGGGAAAGGUGAAAAGAACCCCGGGAGGGGAGUGAAAGAGAACCUGAAACCGUGUGCUUACAAGUAGUCAGAGCCCUUAAGGGGGUGAUGGCGUGCCUUUUGUAGAAUGAACCGGCGAGUUACUUUAUCAUGCGAGGUUAAGUGGAAGACAUGGAGCCGAAGCGAAAGCGAGUCUUAAUAGGGCGAAAUAGUAUGAUGGAGUAGACCCGAAACCAAGUGAUCUACCCAUGGCCAGGUUGAAGUUUAGGUAACACUGAAUGGAGGACCGAACCAGGACACGUUGAAAAGUGUUUGGAUGAGCUGUGGGUAGCGGAGAAAUUCCAAUCGAACUUGGAAAUAGCUGGUUCUCUCCGAAAUAGCUUUAGGGCUAGCCUCGUUGUGAGUUUACUGGAGGUAGAGCACUGUUUGGACUAGGGGCCCAUCCCGGGUUACCGAAUUCAGACAAACUCCGAAUGCCAGAUAAAUAUCAACGGGAGUCAGACUGCGGGUGAUAAGGUUCGUAGUCGAAAGGGAAACAGCCCAGACCGCCAGCUAAGGUCCCAAAUUGUAUGUUAAGUGGAAAAGGAUGUGAUGAUGCACAGACAACCAGGAUGUUGGCUUAGAAGCAGCCACCAUUUAAAGAGUGCGUAAUAGCUCACUGGUCGAGUGACAUCGCGCCGAAAAUGUACCGGGGCUAAACAUACAACCGAAGCUGCGGAUAUAACUAAUGUUAUAUGGUAGGAGAGCGUUCUAACAUCAUAGAAGCCGAGCUGGAAGGCGAGGUGGAGAGGUUAGAAGUGAGAAUGCCGGUGUGAGUAGCGAAAGAUAGGUGAGAAUCCUAUCCACCGAAUGACUAAGGUUUCCAGAGGAAGGCUCGUCCGCUCUGGGUAAGUCGGGACCUAAGGUGAAGCCGAAUGGUGAAGCCGAUGGACAACAGGUAGAAAUUCCUGUACCACCAAAUAUCGAUUGAGAGAAGUGGGGACAGAGGAGGCUAAUUGAUCGUCCUGAUGGAAUAGGACGUCUAAGCACAAAGGUUGAGUAGUAGGCAAAUCCGCUGCUCAUAAGACUGAAGUGUGAUGGGGAGCGAAAUAUAGUAGCGAAGUCAAUGAAGCCAAACUCUCAAGAAAAGCCGCUAUCGAGAUAAGAGGUGCCCGUACCGCAAACCGACACAGGUAGUUGGGAAGAGAAUUCUAAGGUGAGCGAGAGAACCAUCGUUAAGGAACUCGGCAAAAUGACCCCGUAACUUCGGGAGAAGGGGUGCCUACGAGAGUAGGCCGCAGUGAAUAGGCCCAAGCGACUGUUUAACAAAAACACAGGUCUCUGCAAAACCGAAAGGUGAAGUAUAGGGGCUGACGCCUGCCCGGUGCUGGAAGGUUAAGAGGAGUGCUUAGCGCAAGCGAAGGUAUGAAUUGAAGCCCCAGUAAACGGCGGCCGUAACUAUAACGGUCCUAAGGUAGCGAAAUUCCUUGUCGGGUAAGUUCCGACCCGCACGAAAGGCGUAACGAUUUGGGCACUGUCUCAACGAGGGACCCGGUGAAAUUGAA
rnacentral:rRNA from 1 species